UCCUUGACAGUCCGGUGGUUAGGACUCUGCAUUUCCACUGCAGGGAGCAUGGUUCAAUCCUUGGUUAGGGAA
rnacentral:tRNA from 1 species